ACAGACACCAAAACUCGUCCCCCUGGAACCGACUCGCACCAAGGGAAGUCGGCGGCUGGCAAAUCUCGUUCGUCCCGCAGGGGCCCCCAACCGAGCGAACCCCAAACCCGAGCUCCCCGGGGAGAGGGGACCCUGAUCCGCCGGCUCAGCGGUGGGGGCGCUCGGCGACGCCUGGACUUUCUCAAGGUGACCGGUGAAAAGCUGUGCAAGGAUUUCCUGGAUUGUGCCUUUUGGUCACUUCGUUUUAUGUAACAAUAUUGGUAACAGCGAUGGCGGGAACGAACCAAGAGUCGGUGUGAGACCCACCGUAACUGCACACAGUGAAGACAGAUGCCAAUCACCUCCUCGUUAUUGAUGCUACAACUAAUAGUCAAAAAACAUUGGAAUUCCUGUCCACCGUAAAUGGCUAGAAACCACCCACUCCCAGACCUUUGCUUUUACUCUUCAUUCUGAAAAUUUGCUCAGAUGUUGGAAACCCAGUUUAAACUGAAUUUAUACAGUCCACAGUGUGGGCAUACAAAUUUAAAAUAUGGCCACACAAGUAGGAAAGUUAUGCACCUUGGGGUCAGAUGUAAUCUGGGUUUAGAUUUGGCUUCUUAUUUAGUGUUCAACGUUUUACAAAUGUAAGGAUUAUAUUCAGGAUUGUUACCAAUCAAAAACUCAGAAACAACGGAGAUGCUACGUGGCAGAUUCCCGGGGUAGUGCCAAUGAUUUGCAGCACCUGAUCUGCGUGGUGGGACGGCCUCCACUGUGGGUUAGGGGCUCGGUGACACACCAAUGUAGGGACGGUGGAAACUGUCACUCUAUGACUACGACACAUCAUGAAGCAUCCUCUUGCUAGCAAACUGCCUCUGGAGACUCCCAUUAGGCUUGAUGAAGGAAGCCGCCUGUGGGGAAGUCCCUGGAGGCAGGAAGUGUGGGUGUCCUCCCAGAGGUGGCCAGCGGUUAUCAGGGCCCUCCAUUCUCCAGACAUAGAAGACUGAAUUCUCUCACCCAACGACCUCAGCAGUGGAGUCUCUCCCGUCAAGCACUCGUGAGACCAGAUUAGACAGCAGGUCAGCUGCAGCUGUUUGAAGGUCUAAGCAGAGGACAGUCCGUCCGUGCCUGGCUCCUCAUUCACCCCCGGAUCGUGCAAGUGAGCAGAGGCAGUCCAGUCUUUGGCUCGUCCUGAACUCACUAUGUGGCCCAGGCUGGUCUUGAACUCACGUAGCCCUCCUGCCUCAGCCUCCUGAGUGCUGAGAUUGCAGGUGUGUACCACCACACCUGGGCUAGCUUAUAUCCAAGAGAUUCAAUUUUGGAAGUCCUCAUAUGAGACUCUAAUGAGAUUUGUGAAGAGACUUCAUCCUACACCAUGGCAAAAUACAAAAAUACAAAAAAGCAAAAAAACAGCUGUAACCAAUCUUUGAGGCCCUCUGAGAUGUGAGCUGAGAACCAAGUGCCAGGGCCACCACCGUGACGUUUAUGGCACGUAGGAAGACUUGGAGUUUUCUGCACAGUGGAAGCCAGAGGUGCCCACUUCUCUCCAUGCUCGUCCAAUCGCAGCGUAUGAUGCAAAUUCGUAUAGAAUGAAUGUGGCCACCUCGGGCCACAUGCUACUCUGGGCGUGACUAGAUGGUCUUCCUGAGCCCUCCCUGCUGCUCUGUGGUUCACGGCCACAGUGUGGCAAUGAUUCCAAUUUGGCCUCUCAUUGUUAAAUGCAAAUUCCAGGAAAAUACACUCAAGAAAAAUAGAAAAUUAGUGCCUAAAAUAUUCUGCUCUCGUAUUUUCCAACUUGACACCUGAGUGAAAUGAUAUAGUGGCUGUAAGAUAAGGGAACAAUGAAUGGAACGUACCACCAGUGUCUACCUUACAGGUCAUGGUUGGAUUUGAGAUAUAAUCCAAAGGGGAAAAAAUGUUUUGCAAAAGUGUCUCACAAUAAUAAAUCUUCUGUAAGGGCUUAACGCUAAGCUUUUAAUUAAGAAAGCACACUUUAAGAUUCAGUAACCUUAAAGGAUUUUUAAAUCAUAAAUUGCCUUUGAGUUCUAGAGGAGAAAAUUAAUAUUCAGAAUUAGUAGAGAAAGGGAGAAAAUGCAUAUCAACCGAAGUCCAAAGGGAAGAGAGAGCCAGGGUGGGGAAAUAUGACUCCCUCUGCUAAGAUUUCUAUUAAUUGUUGUUCAAUAUUAAACUAUAUUCCAAACAGUUCUGUUAGGAAAUUGUAGUUGAGCAAAGUUUUUAAAAGAUGUGCUAGCUUUUUAAAAAUUAUGUUUUCAAAAAUAUUAGUAGAGUAUAUCAGCAUUAUUUUUAAUAGUUUCAUGACUAAAGACAGUAAAACUCAAAAGAACAGUAGAACUUCAUGGAAGACCAUCAAAAGAGUGGGCAAAAUACAAAGUCUUGACAGAGCAGAGAUUAGACUGCUAAUUCUGCCACUGCUGAUUCUAACGGCCUUUGAAGUGGGCCUUUGUUGAUGUUUCAGAUGAGCAGAACACAGAACUGAUUCCUUAUGUUGGUUUUCACUGGUUGUUCACAGAUGGUGAGAUGAUGUAGCUGUUAAGUAACAUUUCCUCCUUUAAAAAGAAAUGUGACUCCUUCAAGGUACCCUACUGGAUUGGACCUGCAGAAAGUGUCAAACUGCUUGCCUUGUGUCCGGGCUUGCCUUGAUUCAGUGAACUGAUGCAAUUUGAGACUGGCAAUAAGCUAUUUCAUCACUAUUGUUGUUACUGUUAUCCACAUAUUUCUCAGUUUUGUAAGGUAAAGUAGGUAUAGUAAAUACGUGAUCUUUGAUAUUAGAA